GGUAUUAUACUUUAUAUACUAGAAGACAUGAUUUGCAAUCAUAAAGAAAGAACUUAUCUUUAAUACCA
rnacentral:tRNA from 1 species